AAAUCGGUAGACGCUACGGACUUAAAAUCCGUCGACUUUAGAAAUCGUGAGGGUUCAAGUCCCUCUAUCCCCA
rnacentral:tRNA from 1 species